rnacentral:lncRNA from 12 species
AAAAAAGAAAAGAAAAAAAAAAAGAAAAAGAAAAAAAAAAAAAAAAAGAAGGAAAGAAAAAAGAAUCAGACACUGGAAAAAAAAUUGUCCUUAAAGUUUGUAUGCGAAUCUUGCCACACCAAUUUGAAUGACCCCAUAUCAACCCUCAAAGGCCCCUCCCAAGGAUGAUGGAACUUGAAGGAAUUCUCUCGUAAACUGCUCUCAGUUAUUCCCUUAAAUAGCCAAGGGAAAUCUAAAGUUUAAAAUGAAUGGAAGAUCUUGCCAAAUUUGAUUAGAUACCAGGGCUACAAACUCUAAACCCACAUACUCCACAGCCUGUAUAUCAGAUCCUGGGAAGACCGGCAGCAGAUGGUAAAGUGUGAGAGUUCUUACCAGAGUCAGCUGUCCUGAAUAUCUCUGACUGGUUGGGAGAAGAAGGUGAUUCCUUGCGGGUAAUACACAUUACUCACAGUCACAUUCUGUUGGUGGGAACUCACUCACACAGCCACUUGCAACUGCAGUGUAGGCUAGAAUUGUCUAGCUCUGUCCCAAAGAAGGAAAAGCAGGCUUGGGGGUAGAUGAACACUUUCUACCAUAUCUUAGCACAGACCUAAAUGCAUGGAGAGAGUACACCUCAUACCCACUCACAAGAGAAUAACUCCAAAUGAAGGACAAGGUGGCCAUAGCAGAUGACACAGAAGAAUCAGCAUCUUCUCUAUAUGAUAAAGAGAUCAGGAUCUAAUUUCAAUACAAUACCAAAAAACCAAUAUGGUAUAGAGUUCCAAGAAACAAAAAAUUCAUAUGCAAGAACUGGU